UUGAUUGUUACUGGCGUUCAUCUGGUCUGACUACGGUUCGCAUGCAAGAGUUUGCGGCUGGACCUCCCCCGCGCCCCGUCGGGGCGCGGGGAAGCAACGUGGUUUGGUACGCGGAAUGGUUUGAGACGGCAUGCAGAGGGUCGACGGAGCCGAUCUAAGGCCGAGCGUGUUGGGCGCGACCCCGCUGCGCUCGGGUUCCGACCCGUGACCGCACGGUAGGCGGCCACCCAAACAGCGGGAAAUCGACUCGGGGUCGCCGUUACUGUCCCCACUCUGCUCAUCGGAGGGUGCAGGCUACGCCCCCCCCACAGGCCCGGACUACGGGCCCAUCUGCAAGUGCUGUUGUCAUUGGGUAAUGAUCCUUCCGCAGGUUCACCUACGGAAA
rnacentral:misc_RNA from 1 species